CAGCCGCCACGGGAAUACGUAGGUGGCAAGCGUUGUCCGGAAUUAUUGGGCGUAAAGGGCCCGCAGGCGGUUUCUUAAGUCUGAUGUGAAAGCCCCCGGCUCAACCGGGGAGGGUCAUUGGAAACUGGGAAACUUGAGUGCAGAAGAGGAGAGUGGAAUUCCACGUGUAGCGGUGAAAUGCGUAGAGAUGUGGAGGAACACCAGUGGCGAAGGCGACUCUCUGGUCUGUAACUGACGCUGAGGAGCGAAAGCGUGGGGAGCGAACAGGAUUAGAGACCCCCGUAGUCCCUGUCUCUUAUAC
rnacentral:rRNA from 1 species